CCGGUGACCAUAGAGAGAGGACUCGGAGUUGAGCGCGACGGUCUUUUUAUUUUGCUCACAUCUACGCAGUGCGGUAACGAUGAAGAAGACUUAUUACCUUUUCCCAGCGGUGGUACUUGUCACUGCUUGUUCGUGGGGCUCAUUCUCAAACGCUGCGAGAGAGAAGAGGUACCUGUUCGUCAACCCAAACGCCCCUAUACUUCUUGGUUUCCUCCUCAACAUGCCCGUAUCUUUGGCCAUUCCGACAAUAGCUCCCGCUAAAGGGAGGUCUCUCAGCGUUCAGAAUACCAUUUACGAGGAUGGGGAGAUCCCAGAGGCGCUCUACUGGGACCCCGCGUACGAGGAACAACUGGAAAAGCUCAUCGUCUACUUCGCGCAUUUAGAGCUGUACUCGAUGGGUUGUCAAGAACGACUGUUAUGUGAACUGGCUUCAGAGCCACAAACCUUUUCACCGAUUGCGGAGGUUUUCUUGAAAGAACUCAGGUAA